UCACCUUCAUUCAACAUGCUGUCCCUGCAGAACUCAGCUUUUUCUCUGAUGUUGUUUGCAAUCUUAUCAGGCGUCAGCUGUGCAGAUCUGACUCCAGUCAAAACAGAAGAGUUCAGUCCAGAAGGCAGCUCUGUUACUCUGUCCUACAAAGCUGGAUCUAAUGCUAAUUAUUACUUCUGGUAUCAACAAUAUCCUGGAGAACCACCAGAGUUCCUCAUCUCACACUCUGCUUCCGGCGCUGUAGGAACUAACCCAAUCCCUGGACUGAAGAUUACAGUGGAGUCAAACCGAAUCAAUUUGAUCAUCUCCUCUGCUGCAGUGACAGACUCUGCUGUGUACUACUGUGCUGUGAGGCCCACAGUGACAGGAAACACCAACACUCUGUACAAAAACCUCUGGAGCAAAGACAUCACAAUACUGAUCAACAUCCACCAGAGGGAGUCUCUCUCUGUCAGACUUUAG